CAUAAGCACGUAUCCUUACCUGAAUACAUAGGGUAAGGAGGCGAACCGGGGGAACUGAAACAUCUAAGUACCCCGAGGAAAAGAAAUCAACCGAGAUUCCGAAAGUAGCGGCGAGCGAAAUUGGACUAGCCCUUAAGCUUUACACGCGUUAGACGAACGGUCUGGAAAGUCCGACGAUACAGGGUGAUAGUCCCGUAGUUGACGACGUGUGUUCAGUGAAAUCGAGUAGGGCGGGACACGUGAUAUCCUGUCUGAAUAUGGGGGGACCAUCCUCCAAGGCUAAAUACUACUGACUGACCGAUAGUGAACCAGUACCGUGAGGGAAAGGCGAAAAGAACCCCUGUGAGGGGAGUGAAAUAGAACCUGAAACCGUGUACGUACAAGCAGUAGGAGCAGGCUUUGUCCUGUGACUGCGUACCUUUUGUAUAAUGGGUCAGCGACUUAUAUUCAGUGGCAAGGUUAACCAUCUAGGGGAGCCGUAGGGAAACCGAGUCUUAACUGGGCGUUCAGUCUCUGGAUAUAGACCCGAAACCAGGUGAUCUAGCCAUGGGCAGGUUGAAGGUUGAGUAACAUCAACUGGAGGACCGAACCGACUAAUGUUGAAAAAUUAGCGGAUGACUUGUGGCUAGGGGUGAAAGGCCAAUCAAACCUGGAGAUAGCUGGUUCUCCCCGAAAGCUAUUUAGGUAGCGCCUCGGACGAAUACUACUGGGGGUAGAGCACUGUUAAGGCUAGGGGGUCAUCCCGACUUACCAACCCUUUGCAAACUCCGAAUACCAGUAAGUACUAUCCGGGAGACACACGGCGGGUGC
rnacentral:rRNA from 1 species